CUUGGUCAUUUAGAGGAAGUAAAAGUCGUAACAAGGUCUCCGUUGGUGAACCAGCGGAGGGAUCAUUACCGAGUUUACAACUCCCAAACCCAAUGUGAACGUUACCAAACUGUUGCCUCGGCGGGAUCUCUGCCCCGGGCGCGUCGCAGCCCCGGACCAAGGCGCCCGCCGGAGGACCAACCCCAAACUCUUUUUGUAUACCCCCUCGCGGGUUUUUUACUUCUGAGACUUUCUCAGCGCCCCUAGCGGGCGUUUCGAAAAUGAAUCAAAACUUUCAACAACGGAUCUCUUGGUUCUGGCAUCGAUGAAGAACGCAGCGAAAUGCGAUAAGUAAUGUGAAUUGCAGAAUUCAGUGAAUCAUCGAAUCUUUGAACGCACAUUGCGCCCGCCAGUAUUCUGGCGGGCAUGCCUGUCCGAGCGUCAUUUCAACCCUCGAACCCCUCCGGGGGGUCGGCGUUGGGGAUCGGCCCUUUCACCGGGUGCCGGCCCCUAAAUACAGUGGCGGUCUCGCCGCAGCCUCUCAUGCGCAGUAGUUUGCACACUCGCACCGGGAGCGCGGCGCGUCCACGUCCGUAAAACACCCCAACUUCUGAAAUGUUGACCUCGGAUCAGGUAGGAAUACCCGCUGAACUUAAGCAUAUCAAUAAGCGGAGGAAAAGAAACCAACAGGGAUUGCCCCAGUAACGGCGAGUGAAGCGGCAACAGCUCAAAUUUGAAAUCUGGCCCCUCGGGGUCCGAGUUGUAAUUUGUAGAGGAUGCUUUUGGUGAGGUGCCGCCCGAGUUCCCUGGAACGGGACGCCACAGAGGGUGAGAGCCCCGUCUGGCUGGCCACCGAGCCUCUGUAAAGCUCCUUCGACGAGUCGAGUUGUUUGGGAAU
rnacentral:sRNA from 1 species